GUCUUCCUCAGAACUGGCUGCCUGGCUGUGCGUUAACGCUGCUGACAUGAUCGGUAGGCUGAGGACCACUCACCUUCUCCAAACAUUAUUUGUGGGGGAUGUGAGGGCUUCAUAAAACAAAUUGAACACAUGGGCUAAGAGGGCUAAUUCCCCUUACUGCGUGCUUCAACCUGGCCCCUGAUGUGUCAGAGCAGGAACCCGAACUGUCAGAGAGAGGCGGAUGCACACCAGAGAGAAGUCCACCGGCAACAAUUUCACUGGGACCGAGAAAAGAAAGAGGAGGGUUACAAGUAGGCCUGGGCAGCAGAGACCUCUCAAGACCCAGGGGAAACACAGCUCGGCUGACACAAAGGUGCGGACCAAGAUCCAGCUCUCAGUAGCCCUGUAUAGUGUGGGCUCUACGGCCCAAGGGUCCCCCAUGUUGGGUAAGGACUUUGGUAGUUGGGGCCUCUUUCCGGCUGUACAUGACCCAGCAGCCACAGAUUCCCGGGCCUCUUAACAUCUGUUUCUGCUCCUGUAAAAUGGGACUUCAAGGGCCUUCCUAAGGAGAGCGCACACAGCUGUAACCCCAGCACUCAUUAGGUCAACACAGGAGGACGGCCACACGUUUGAGGCGGGCCUGGGGUGCAGACAGAAUGUUGUCUCAAGAAACAAAACAAGGGGCUGGAGAGGUGGCUCAGCUCUCUUGCAGAGAGCUCUCUUGCCUGAGUUUGAAUCCCAGCAUCCACGGGGCUGCUUACAGCCAUGUGUAACUCCAGUUCUGGAGUCUCCCUCGCCCUCUUCUGGCUUCUCUGGGUACUGUAUGAACGUGGUGCACAGGCACACAUAGGCAAGUCACCCACACACGUAAAACAAAACACAAACAAGAUAAAAACCCAACGGCCUUUGUUGCUUAACUCAGAGUUAGGCUCAAACAAGACAACAUACGGAAAAGUCUUUCAUGAGCUGCAAACGACAGUAUGUCAAGUAAAAAUAAAUGCUAUCAUAGGAGGGAACUCUAGGGACCUCGGGCCUGUCUUAAAUUAUCUUAAGCAGAGAGUAACACCCAACACUAUGUGACAUCCCCUGAGCACUUAACAGCACCAGUACAAUUCGCUGGCACCUCUGUUAGCCUCUAACAGACCCAGAAACUAUUCGGAUAACGGUCCCUUGGGCAUCAGUGUGGCCAACAGACUGACACAUGCCCAGACAUCCAUUCCUCACAACACCUAAGACAAUGGCUGGGCUCCCCCGUAUUUCAGCUACUCCUAAUUGUGGGAAACGUGACCCUGACUCAAGGCUGGCAACAGUGUUAACCACGAGCCUGCAGAGAAAACCAACUGUCGUUUUAUACCUAAAUUUGUAUCAAAAAAUGAUCUGGGUCUGGUGAUUAGGGUCUGUAAUUCCCGGAGGCUUCAGGGGAGGUAAGGAAGAUCACAGGUUUGAAGCCAUCCUGAACUGGAGCGAGUUCGAGGUUAGCCUAGACAACUUAGGGAGCCCCUGCUUCAAAGUCGUUUUCAAAAGCCAGCUAGCGAGUGUAGCUCAGUGGUAACAUGCUUGUCUAACGUAUGUGAGAACCCUAACUAUAACCCCUUAUGCCAGAGGGGGAGAGUUUCAUGAAAAUAAAGUGCUUCUC
rnacentral:lncRNA from 1 species